rnacentral:misc_RNA from 1 species
GGACUACCAGGGUUUCUAAUCCUUCUCGUUACCCAAGCCUUCGUCCCUCAACGUCAGUUUUUAAUAGAAGGCAGCCUUCGCCUUUACCAGUCUCCUUGUUAUUAAAAUAUUGUAACAUUACUUCAAGGAUACUCCCCUUCUCAUAUAAAACUCUAGUAAAAAAGUACCCGUUAAGGUUUAAUUUACCGUCUAGGUACCCUUUAAACCUAAUAAAGAUGACUAACACUAGUCUUCUACGUAUUACCGCGGCUGCUGACAC